rnacentral:misc_RNA from 1 species
UCAGCCACCCCGAGCUUCUCUCCUCGUAGCAUCAUGAAGCAGUUCAAUGUCAACUCCAUCAGGAGGUAACUGCACGUAUCUGACCACCGAUCCUCUGAUGAAGCAGUUCCUCACGGACCUCAUGUGGGGAUACUUGUCCUCAUCAACAACCCUAGUGUUUUCAAGCUUAAUGUUGAGAUACUGAUCAACUGAAUGUAGUGUUCCUCGAAUAGCCAAAUCGUUCUUCAGUUCGACAGUCACUUCCCUGCCCACCAGAUCCUUGAAGUAUGAGAAAAACAACAUUUUUAUCUCUCAGGGAGUAUCACACUGUGUUCUCUGUAAUCCUUGGCAGCUAUAGUUCGACUUCGCCGGAGGUGGAAGUGCGUCGUACAGCUGAAAGGGUAGACUACUUUAG